UAAUCUAACCUCACGCGUAAUUUGUAACGAGAGUGCAUUCUUAUACAUUUUAAAAUAACUUUUUACCGUUUUCAUAUAUUCGUGAGAGGCCGAUCCGCGGGAUGCCAACUGCCUCCAAUAAGUCGUGGUUGCUAGGUGAACUUGGGCUUGCAAAUCUCAAAAUUUCCACUUUUUUGCAUAUCGCGCGAGUAAAAAAGAAACGGCUAAAGAAAGUGGUGCGUUAAUUUUGUCCAGUAGUGUAUACCCAAACUCAUCCGCAUUUUUGGCAUAUGCUCACAAAAUUUGUGCCGCAGUCAAACGGUUAAGGUUGUGCCACGAAUGCCUCUUUUUCAUCGGUUCUAUACUACACAUACGUUACAAUGACACACGAAUCGCUACCAUUGUUGCUCUCGUACUUCAUCAAUGUACAAAGCAAUAUGGAAAAAAAUAGUUUCCCUUGUUCCGCGAUUGCAAGAUAGCUUAGAAACUGUCAUGUGCGAUUACGAGAAAGCUGUAAUGGAAGGGGUACAAGCACAAUUUCUCACAGUCACAAUACAUGGCUGUUGGUUUCAUUUUAAUCAGGAAACAGAGGAAGUUAAGAUAACAAAAUGCACAAAAAGGAAUUCUCUCAAUGACUAUGACAAUGCCUUUAGUUCCACCGGACAUGUUUCCAGAAGCGUUACAUCACAUGCAGUUAGUUGCAGAUCAUUUAUGUGGCACUUUCCCGAAUGUGCUCCAGUUUAUGCCGUAUCUACGCAAUGUGUGGCUACCUAUUUCUUCGAAGGUCAGCGUAUUAGGGUGUCCCCUAGAUAAUUUAUCCAAACUAAUAACAGAUGAAACGAUUAAUUAAGUUAGCCCAAGAUAAUUUAAUCUCCGGGAUAUUGUGCAUCUAGCAAUUUUUAAACAUGUUUAGUAACGAUUAUGACACCAAUAUAAUAACAAUUCGUUACCAAGAGACUGCGAUGAAAAUGAUGCAUUUAAUGGAACUCUCACGGAUGAAACGUUUAGUAUAGAAAAUAAAUUGCCUGAUUACAUGCCUAAUGAAGACCCUGUUCAACUAGAAAGUACAUCAAUCAAUGAUAUUAAUAACAAUGAUUCGUGUUUCUAAUUAUUCUAGUCGUUAAUUAUAUUUACUAUUCAACAUAUUUACUAUUCAGCACAACAAUUAUCAUAUAUUAUCUUUUAUAUGUGAUGUUCUAACAAUAUCAAUGGAUAAUAUUAAUAUAUGUAUAUCCAGAAAGUGAAAGAAUAUCUAUAUAUAAUUCAAUAGAAGACAGUUGUAAUAAAAGUGAGUCUCUUACACAUUCACAAAAUGGUAACAAGAAAAAAAACAGUGGUAGGUAAAAUUCUGAUCAUCAAUCUAUCUUAUUAAUAUUUUGAUUAUGUAUUACAAAGUCAGUAAAUUUUAUUAAGGUCUUAUUUAAUGUGUACUUAUGCACUUUAAGUGUUGUUCCUUCAGCAUCCAUUGACAAAGCCAGCAGUAUUUCCACAAAAGCUUUACAGAAAUUACACAUAAGUGAAGUUUGUCAGUUUGUUAACAUUUAACUUGCUAUCUUUGAUAAAUACCAUGCAAAUUGAAUAUUUAUGUAAAAUACCAUGGAUUAUAAGUGGAUAAUAGAUAUAGUAUACAAUACCACACAAUAUUAUUUUAUUUCGUUAUCUAUCAAUGUAAAAUUAAA